rnacentral:rRNA from 1 species
GUAGGGUGCAAGCGUUAAUCGGAAUUACUGGGCGUAAAGCGUGCGCAGGCGGUUAUGCAAGACAGAGGUGAAAUCCCCGGGCUCAACCUGGGAACUGCCUUUGUGACUGCAUGGCUAGAGUACGGUAGAGGGGGAUGGAAUUCCGCGUGUAGCAGUGAAAUGCGUAGAUAUGCGGAGGAACACCGAUGGCGAAGGCAAUCCACUGGACCUGUACUGACGCUCAUGCACGAAAGCGUGGGGAGCAAACAGGAUUAGAUACCCUGGUAGUCCACGCCCUAAACGAUGUCAACUGGUUGUUGGGAGGGUUUCUUCUCAGUAACGUAGCUAACGCGUGAAGUUGACCGCCUGGGGAGUACGGCCGCAAGGUUG